CCCAUUCUAAAUCUAUGCGAUGAAACUUAAUCCCAGUAUACAUGAUCGUGAAAAAUCAGGGACGAAAUCAAAUCAAACAAUCAUAUUCGCUCAUCGGUUUAACCUAUUCACUUCAUUAUUUACGCUCAAAUUAUCUAUGCGAUGAAACUUAAUCCCAGUAUGCAUGAUCGUGAAAAAUCAGGGACGAAAUCGCAAGAAAUCACAUACAUAUCUUCUUCCUUUCUCUCUCACGAACACCUGAGAAUUUUUCUUCUGUCUUCUGUUGCUCCUAAUUUGAAUUGAUUUAUUGGUGCAGGUAUCUAAGUAAUUUGAAGAAGUUUGGUCCCGAUAGGAGAUAACAUCAAAUCGUCGUUGAAACAAACAGAUCGCAAGGAGGUAGGCGAUGGUUCGGUUAUAUUGUCGUCUUAUGAUUCUGGUCUCAUCAAUUGGUUUAACAUGUACGGAUGUUAACGAUGGUGGAUUCACUUUGAGAAUUUAUGGUUCACGAUUUCUUCUUAUUAAGGUUCUUAAUUCAUGGUAUUCAAUUUUAUUUUUUCUGUUUUAUGUUUCUGAUUUACAAGGUCUUUUUACAUUAAAGUUUGCUCCUUCGUUGUUUGAGUUCUUGGGCAAAAGUUAAGGACAAACUUUGAUUUAACCUAAUUUCUUUCCAAGAGACAUCUUCAUGAUAUUCUUAAAAUAAAUGAGAAUUUUUGUAUGGAAGCAUAACAAAAUCGGUUGUAUUCUCCUUUACCCUCCACUAAUUGCUGAUGAACUCAUUUAUCUAACACCUGAUACCUCCCCUUCUCAACACACCGAUGAACAAGGUAAUCUAUAUCAUCCUUUCAUAUUCUUUUUGAAAAAAAAAAACAAUUCUGAGCCCUUGUGUAUGUUAAUUUGUUUUUUUGAUAGAAUUCUUUGCUUAAAGAUGCAUUGGAUUCUCUUUGGUUUACUAAUUCAAAUUUUAUGUGAUUCUGUUCUUUGGCCAAUAGGUAACAUGUUUGUUGGUGAUUUAACUUUUAGUUCUUUUUGUACUACGGUUCAAGUGUAUAGGGUGAGACAAUUAUUCCUUUCAGUUGUGCAUUGGAACAGAAUCUUGUUGAUCUUCCAGAAGAUCAAGCAGCAAAAUACUGUGAGGAAAUUUCUUUAUUUUAGGUAUAAAUUCUCUGUUAAAACCCAAAGGACGUUUUUUUUUUUUUUUUUGGUUUAGAAUUCCAUGGAUAAUGGACUUAUAUCCUGCCUUGCAAAAUGACUCAUUUGAUUGCUAAACACCCCAUCUUUCAGUUUUUUCAAAUAUGAAGGCAUACCUAUUUUGCUUGGUUUCAAUUUCAGCUUACACCAAAAACUUUCAAACAUGAUCUGUUUUGUUCAUUUUGUAUAAAAUUGUUUUCUAUAAUGUCAGUCAAUCUCUCAUCUUAAAUUAAGUCAAAUUAGGUUUAUUUUGAGUUGACUUUGAGCUUUUUUUAGUUGGUUUUUUACCUCAACACACGAGAUGAGAAGGCCCAUUGCCUUGGUGCUGUCAUAGUAUAGCCUCUGUAACAUAAGGAUGCUAACUAGGGAUGAUAAAAAUGGUGACAUUGUUUAGAAACCCGUUUCUCUAACUCCAUUUUGCUAAGACUCACACUCAUGUGUCAUUGAUUACUAACAAUUUAGAAUGGGUGAAUACUAACUUUUGGGUGUUUCUUUUUGAAUUAAUAGAAAAAGGCUCAAACUUUAAAGUGGAAGGAUGGAGUGUGUAUGUAUUCAGACCCUAAACUAUGUUAGAAAGUAUAUAUACAGAGUAUAAGAGGUCAUCAGCCAGAUACAAACAGGGUAAUAAUUUGCGUGAUGCUGUGAAUUCAUAUAACUAAGAUUAAGUUACAUUUUGAGGCCUUCACGCAUAAAUCGAUUUGCAUUAACAUAUUUGAACAAACAGGGACGGAAAUUUUGACAUCAAUCUUAUUCCAUAAAAUAUAUUAGCUAAUUGCAGAAUAAAUGUUGAAAAGAACUGUUAUCAAUUUAACAAACAGUUCUCUUUUUUUCUCCAUUAAAUGUUAUCUAAAUCCUGGCGUUGGUUAGAAGAGAAUGAAGUUGUAUCUCUUGGAAAGCAUAUUGAACAAGGUAGGUUCUCUUAUACAUCAGUAGCCUACUUUUGCAGCAAAUUAACCCUUAAUCUAGGAUAAAUCUAAGAUUUUUUCAUCAUCUUGAAGGACAUCUUCAAUGAUUUUCAGUUAUCUCGUUAGGAAGCUUGUUGAUUGUUUGUGUUGGAAUAUUUUAUGAUGUUUUUUUGUUUUCUGAUUAUUUGUUUGGUUAUUGUCUUUAUAUUAUUCAACAGCUCAUAUGGCUAUUGCAAAUGGUGGAGAUUGGCAAAAGGAAUUCUAUCAAAAAGAUGGUGCAUAUGAAAGUAGAUUUGUGUAAGUUUCACCAUAUGUUAUGGUCCAAGAUUCUGUAGAUUUGCUUAAAUUUUUGUUGUAUUGCUAGCUAAGUUUUGUAGUCACAUCUUUGCAAGUAAAUGAUGAUAAAGUAAAGUCUGUACUUGAGCUGAUGGUGGCCGUGUUAUAGAAAGCAUGAAUUAUCAUAGUUAAGAUGAA